GGGAGCAAACAGGAUUAGAUACCCUGGUAGUCCACGCCCUAAACGAUGUCAACUAGUUGUUGGGGAUUCAUUUCCUUAGUAACGUAGCUAACGCGUGAAGUUGACCGCCUGGGGAGUACGGUCGCAAGAUUAAAACUCAAAGGAAUUGACGGGGACCCGCACAAGCGGUGGAUGAUGUGGAUUAAUUCGAUGCAACGCGAAAAACCUUACCUACCCUUGACAUGGACGGAACCCUGCUGAGAGGUGGGGGUGCUCGAAAGAGAACCGUCGCACAGGUGCUGCAUGGCUGUCGUCAGCUCGUGUCGUGAGAUGUUGGGUUAAGUCCCGCAACGAGCGCAACCCUUGUCCUUAGUUGCUACGCAAGAGCACUCUAAGGAGACUGCCGGUGACAAACCGGAGGAAGGUGGGGAUGACGUCAAGUCCUCAUGGCCCUUAUGGGUAGGGCUUCACACGUCAUACAAUGGUCGGAACAGAGGGUUGCCAAGCCGCGAGGUGGAGCCAAUCCCAGAAAACCGAUCGUAGUCCGGAUUGCACUCUGCAACUCGAGUGCAUGAAGCUGGAAUCGCUAGUAAUCGCGGAUCAGCAUGCCGCGGUGAAUACGNNNCCGGGUCUUGUACACACCGCCCGUCACACCAUGGGAGUGGGUUUUACCAGAAGUGGCUAGUCUAACCGCAAGGAGGACGGUCACCACGGUAGGAUUCAUGACUGGGGUGAAGUCGUAACAAGGUAACCA
rnacentral:rRNA from 1 species